rnacentral:lncRNA from 1 species
UGUUCGUUUGUUUUUUUUUUCGAUUGUUAUAAGCGUUUAAAAGGGGAAAGGGUGUGUGCAAAUAUGUUGAUAGUUUGAUGAUUUACAAAUCUACAAGAUUCACAAUUAACAAGAGUGUUUGUAUUUUUAUAAAGAUGGUUAAGUGAGACUUAGGCCAUAACCUUAUGCACAAAUUUGCUGUACCAUAUGGCUGUAAAAGUUUCAAGCUUCAGGUGUAUCUUGACUUGCU